CCGCCCUCCGCCCGCCCGCUUUCUGCAGUCUCUACUUGAGGGUUUUCUAUUUCUCAACAACGUCGUGAAAUACGUCGUCCUCUCUCACGUGACAUAGUUUUCGCGGGAAAACAACGGUAUUUUCAAGAGCAUCAGUCAGCACAGACGACCCCUGACCUUUAACCUGACACCUCAUCAUCUGCUCUGUCAUGUGUGCAAACAUCUGAUCCCAGAACAGCCCGAGAGAGAGAGAGCUGAAAACACCAGAUGUAAAAGGAAACAGGUCUUUUUCUGUCUUUCUAUUCACUGAUCGUCUCGCAGAAGAGGAGAACCUGAAAGUGUGCAGAAAUACAGAGAAACUGAGAUCUGAAACAUGACAGAUCGACACGGGAGAAACAACCGGCUUUGACAAAGAUCACAGAGACGCCCAUGUGAGCAGCAGCAGCAGCAGCGGGAGGAUCUCUUCGCCUCUGUUCCAGCGUUCGGUGACGGGGAUGUGAGAAGAUGUCGGUGGGAGGCUGUGCGUGUCCCGGUAAGCUCCAGGCUUUCUCUGCAGUGACACACGCUGAGGUUAGAUGUGCAGAAACAUGGCUGCCCGUCUCCUGACGUCUGACUUUUCAUCUGCUCCAACAGCUGGUUUGCGUCGCUGACAUUUACAGCGUUUCGUGGCCUAGAUCUCUGUUGUGUUAGACGGCAGAUCUGCUGCUUUUAAAGCUGAGACCCUCAGAUAAAUCAGAGGAGGAGCGGGAGUUUGUGAAGUGGCUUGAUGAAAGGUCACGCUGUGUUUUAAACUCGAGACACACAGCAUCAGACGUGUUUUCUGUCUCAUCUCAGACGUUUCAUGAUUGAUUCGUGUGUUUGUGUUGUAGUUUCUCAGCGGAUGAGAACAGAUAUUUGUGAGUGUGUUUGUUAGACAGACAGAAAAUCAACAAGUGUUUGGAUAGCACAAUGCAUUCGACGCCAACAACUCAAAAUGUGCAUGUUCUUAUUAAUAUAUUAACACUACAUUGUCCAACUACUGUAUAUGUUAAGGUCAUGGUUUACAGUGAACAGCUUAGGGGCGUUUAUAAAUUCAGUGUAAACCACGGCUUCACUGGGAUUAAUGCUUUUAUAAAACAGUUAUUCCAUAUACACAGUAAGGUUUC